UACGAAGGGGGCGAGCGUUGUUCGGAAUUACUGGGCGUAAAGGGCGCGCAGGCGGCUCUGAAAGUCAGAUGUGAAAGCCCCGGGCUUAACCUGGGAAUUGCAUUUGAUACUCUGGAGCUUGAGUGUGGGAGAGGAGAGUGGAAUUCCCAGUGUAGAGGUGAAAUUCGUAGAUAUUGGGAAGAACACCGGUGGCGAAGGCGGCUCUCUGGACCACAACUGACGCUGAGGCGCGAAAGUGUGGGGAGCGAACAGG
rnacentral:rRNA from 1 species